UUUCCCAUUGAUUUUGGAAUGUCACGGAUUGUGGUUAAAAUUGGUUCAGCUAGGCGAUGAAAAGGGUGUGCACAUACUGGCACACAGGCAGGCGUUUUGCUGUUUUUUGUAGACUAUAGCAGUUAAAAAGCUUUAUAAUUGAUCAAAAUGUUCUAUCCUUGAAGUUGUUCUAUUAUUGCUUUUGUUUGUGGAUCACUUCAUUGAAUGCCAUAGCAGUUUGGUUAUAGAAGUUUCAGUUUCUUGUGUUUACUUUAGUGCUGUACCAUAUUGGAGG
rnacentral:misc_RNA from 1 species